rnacentral:tRNA from 1 species
GGGGUUGUGGCUCAGUGGUAGAGUUUUCACCUAGCACAUGAGAGGCCCUGGGUUCGAUCCUCAGCACCA